rnacentral:rRNA from 1 species
GCGACCCCAGGUCAGGGCGGGACUA